AAUCCUGCCCGGUGAGUUACGACUUUAACGGCCGCGGUACCCUGACCGUGCAAAGGUAGCAUAAUCCAUCGCCUUUUAAUUGAAGGCUAGUAUGAAUGGACCCACGAGUGAUUAAUUGUCUCAUUACCAAAAGCAUAAAUUAGUCCUCAGGUGAAGAAACCUGAAUCCCCCUGAAAGACAAGAAGACCCUGUUGAGUUUAACUCUACUCCGCCUUACUGCAGCUAUUUCAAAUCAGCCAUGUAAAAGCCCUUGAGUUUGAUUGGGGCAAUCAAUGACUACGCCCACUGUCAUUUAUGCACUAGACUCCAAGUCCAACAAACUACCCGCACCCGCGAACCAGCACUAAUCCUACUACCACAGGGAUAACAGACCAAUCUCCUCGAAGAGCCCGCAUCAAAGAGGAGGAGUGGCACCUCGAUGUUGGCUUAGGAAAACCUUCAGGUGCAGCAGCUUGAUAGGUUGGUUUGUUCAACCAUUAAACCCCUACGUGAUCUGAG
rnacentral:rRNA from 1 species